UACGGGGGGGGCAAGCGUUGUUCGGAAUUACUGGGCGUAAAGGGCUCGUAGGCGGCCAACUAAGUCGGAUGUGAAAUCCCCAGGCUUAACCUGGGAACUGCAUCCGAUACUGGAUGGCUUGAAUCCGGGAGAGGGAUGCGGAAUUCCAGGUGUAGCGGUGAAAUGCGUAGAUAUCUGGAGGAACACCGGUGGCGAAGGCGGCAUCCUGGACCGGUAUUGACGCUGAUGCGCGAAAGCCAGGGGAGCAAACGGG
rnacentral:rRNA from 1 species